GUAUUUAUCUAGUGUCACACCGGUCCUCCAAUUUUUCAUUGUCUGUGGCCUAAGGUAGACUUUCAUUGCACUCUUGAGGUAUGCUACCUUAAGGUCUGCCAAAAUGGUAGAGGCUACACCAUAAUUUGUGGUAGUGGAGUUUGUGUUCGCGCAACUCCUU